GAUGAACGCUGGCGGCGUGCUUAACACAUGCAAGUCGAACGAAGGGAUAGGAGCUUGCUCCUUGAACUUAGUGGCGGACGGGUGAGUAACGCGUGGGUAACCUGCCCUAUGCAGGGGGAUAACGUUUGGAAACGAACGCUAAUACCGCAUAAACUAUCGAUGACUGCAUGGUCAUUAUAGUAAAGAUUUAUCGGCAUAGGAUGGACCCGCGUUGGAUUAGCUAGUUGGUGAGAUAACAGCCCACCAAGGCGACGAUCCAUAGCCGGCCUGAGAGGGUGAACGGCCACAUUGGGACUGAGACACGGCCCAAACUCCUACGGGAGGCAGCAGUGGGGAAUAUUGCACAAUGGGCGCAAGCCUGAUGCAGCGACGCCGCGUGAAGGAAGAAGGUCUUCGGAUUGUAAACUUCUAUCAGCAGGGAAGAAUAAAUGACGGUACCUGACUAAGAAGCCCCGGCUAACUACGUGCCAGCCGCCGCAGUAA
rnacentral:rRNA from 1 species